rnacentral:rRNA from 1 species
CCUUCUUUUUCUCUCUUUCCUCUUCCUUCCUGGGCGUAAAGCGUGCGUAGGCGGUUCGUUAUGUCUGCUGUGAAAGCCCCGGGCUUAACCUGGGAAUGGCAGUGGAAACUGGCGGGCUUGAGUGUGGCAGAGGGGGGUGGAAUUCCGCGUGUAGCAGUGAAAUGCGUAGAGAUGCGGAGGAACACCGAUGGCGAAGGCAGCCCCCUGGGCUAACACUGACGCUGAGGCACGAAAGCGUGGGGAGCAAACAGGA